UACGGGGGGGGCAAGCGUUGUUCGGAAUUACUGGGCGUAAAGGGCUCGUAGGUGGCCAACUAAGUCAGACGUGAAAUCCCUCAGCUUAACUGGGGAACUGCGUCUGAUACUGGAUGGCUUGAGUUUGGGAGAGGGAUGCGGAAUUCCAGGUGUAGCGGUGAAAUGCGUAGAUAUCUGGAGGAACACCGGUGGCGAAGGCGGCAUCCUGGUCCAGCACCGACGUUCAGGCACGAAAGCGUGGGGAGCAAACAGG
rnacentral:rRNA from 1 species